UACGAAGGGGGCUAGCGUUGCUCGGAAUCACUGGGCGUAAAGGGUGCGUAGGCGGGUCUUUAAGUCAGGGGUGAAAUCCUGGAGCUCAACUCCAGAACUGCCUUUGAUACUGAGGAUCUUGAGUUCGGGAGAGGUGAGUGGAACUGCGAGUGUAGAGGUGAAAUUCGUAGGUAUUCGCAAGAACACCAGUGGCGAAGGCGGCUCACUGGCCCGAUACUGACGCUGAGGCACGAAAGCGUGGGGAGCAAACAGG
rnacentral:rRNA from 1 species